rnacentral:rRNA from 1 species
AACGAACGCUGGCGGCAGGCUUAACACAUGCAAGUCGAACGGUUGUAGCAAUACAGCAGUGGCGCACGGGUGAGUAACGCGUGGGAACGUGCCCUUCAGUUUUGGAUAACCACUGGAAACGGUGGCUAAUACAAAAUAUUCCCUCCGGGGGACAGAUUUAUCGCUGAAGGAUCGGCCCGCGUUAGAUUAGGUAGUUGGUGGGGUAAUGGCCUACCAAGCCUACGAUCUAUAGCUGGUCUGAGAGGAUGAUCAGCCACACUGGAACUGAGACACGGUCCAGACUCCUACGGGAGGCAGCAGUGGGGAAUAUUGGACAAUGGGCGAAAGCCUGAUCCAGCCAUGCCGCGUGAGUGAUGAAGGCCUUAGGGUUGUAAAGCUCUUUUGUCAGGGAAGAUAAUGACGGUACCUGAAGAAUAAGCACCGGCUAACUUCGUGCCAGCCGCCGCCGUAA